rnacentral:lncRNA from 1 species
CCAAAUCUUGUGGUCAUAUGUUGCACUGGCAGAAUCAAGAUUGCAUCACAAAUCCUGGUUAUUAGGAAGUCUGGGAAAUGUAGUAUUAGACUUCUUGCUCCUGCAACAAGUGUAUGUGUGUAGAGCAGAUCACAGGGGAAGGUAGAAACAAAUGCCCAAUAUAAAUAGGCAUUCAGCAGAAGAGGACACCGAUGCAGAGAAAAGAGAACUUCCCUUCAUGAUGCUAUGCAAUCCCCAGGAGAAGCACGUUGAAAGCUGAGAAUCCUUCUUGGCACUGGGAAUACAGAGGUGAUGGGCAGGAAAAUUCCCUGAUUUUAUAGAGCUUAAAUUCUUGUAGGAGAGACAGACAAUAACAAAAGAAGACUGACUGAGAUGUGUUGGCGGGCUUCUCAAGAUCCCUAUCGAUGGCAGAAUGCUGACAUGAGUUGCCCAUAGUCCAGGUUUCCCAAUGUAGCAGAUGACUCUAGCGGCUCCAGCUUCAGCAUCAUCUUAAGUUCAAGUGAAAAGGAAAAGAGAAUCUCUUUUUCUUCAAACAAUUUCAAACUAAAAUCUUGAGUCUGACUUUUCCUGGCCAGAAUUAAGCUUGUACUUAUCCCUGAAAAAUCAUCAAUGCUACAGUGAUGAAUUUACCAAUUGAGGCAGAAUUUAGGUCACAUGACGCUCCAAAGCCUCUUCAAAACCGCAUGACUCAGAGUGAGGCAGAAGUAUUUGGGAUAUUUGCAACAGGAGAAGGGUAAAUGAAUGGAGAGUGCCAAAACAACUUAUGUCAAUUAUACAAUUAUAAAUACAACCAAAAUAAAGUAUGGAAAUCAGUAUUUUCACCUAUCUUAACAGAGUGAAAGAUUUAUUCUGUUGAAUAUUUGCCAUAUUUCACUUUCCACAUUCAGCACUCUGCAAUAUUUAAAGAAGAAAAUAAGUCUCCAUAUACUGAAUAAAGACAUAUCAAAAUUUGUGUGACAUCAUAUUCCUUAGUUACAUUUUUUGUUCAUUCAUUUGUGUGUUUGUUUAUGUCACCCACACUAGAUCAUGGUGGUGUGAACAUGGUUCACUACAGCCUCAACAUCCUGGGCCCAAGCAAUCCUCCCACCUCAGCCUCCUGUGUAGCUAAGACCACAGGUGGGCACCACCAUGCCCAGCUACCUUUUAAUUUUUUGUAGAUAUGGGGGUCUCACUUUGUUGCCCAGGCUGGUCUCGAACUCCUGGGCUCAAGCUAUCCCCACAACACUUUGGUUUGGCCUCCCAAAGUGUCGGGAUUACAGGUGCGAGCCAGUGCACUCAGCCUUACAUUUUUUAAUAAAUGAAUUUAAACAAAGAAUAGAAACAUAUUUUUAAACACACCAAUUAACAAACCAAAGUGUAUUGCAAAUUAUUGGAAGGGACAGCAGAGUGAAAAAAUGUUAUCCCACCUGCAGGAGGUGGAAAAGGUGAUAAUAUGAAACAAAUAUUUCCACCUAUCCUAAUAGAGUAAAAGAUUUAUUCUGCUGGAUAUUUUCUGUAUUUUACCUACCUUCCACAUUCAGCACUCUGCACUCUCUUGCCCAACUAUUCCUUUUAAUUUUCCCAUAAUACAACUUUUUAAUAUUUUAUGUAAUAUAUGUAUUUAUUUCUUUCUUUUACUAACUGUGUUUCCUACUGGAAUGUAAGCUUCAAAAAUUCAGAGAUCUUUGUCCUUGUUGCUGAUAUAGCCUACUGUCUAAAAAAAACUUCAGAUAUUUAAUUUUUUUAACUUUUAAGUUCAGGGGUACAAGUGCAAGUUUGUUACAUAGAUAAACAUGUGUCAUGGGGGUUUCUUGUGCAUAUCAUUUAAUCACUCAGGUAUUAAGCUUAGUACCCAUUAGUUAUUUUUUUCUGAUCUUCUCUCUCCUCCUAUCCUUCACUCUUCAAUAGGCCCCAGUGUGUGUUAUUCUCCUCUAUGGGUCCAUAUGUUCUCAUCAUUUAGCUCCCACUUAUAAGUGAGAGCAUGCAGUGUUUGGUUUUCUGUUUCUGUCAGUUUGCUAGGGAUAAUGGCCUCCAGCUCCAACCAUGUUCCUGCAAAGGACAUGAUCUCAUUUUUUUUAUGGCUGCAUGGUAGUCCAUGGUGUAUAUAUACCACAUUUUCUUUAUCCAGUCUAUCAUUGAUGGGCAUUUAUAUUGAUUUCAUGUCUUUGAGAUUGUAAAUAGUGCUGCAGUGAACAUAUGUGUGUAUGUGUCUUUAUAAUAUAAUGAUUUAUGUUCCUUUGGGUAUAUACCCAGCAAUGGGAUUGCUGGGUCAAAUGGUUUUUCUGUCUUUAGGUCUUUGAGGAAUUGCCACACUGUCUUCCACCAUCUUUAUUUCUGCCUUCGUUUCGUUAUGUACCAGUAGUCAUUCAGGAGCAGGUUAUUCAGUUUCCAUGUAGUUGAUCAGUUUUGAGUGAGUUUCUUAAUCCUGAGUUCUAGUUUGAUUGCACUGUGGU